rnacentral:rRNA from 1 species
UGGGGAAUCUUGCACAAUGGGGGAAACCCUGAUGCAGCGACGCCGCGUGAGUGAUGAAGUCCUUCGGGAUGUAAAGCUCUUUCGACAGGGACGAUUAUGACGGUACCUGGAGAAGAAGCUGCGGCUAACUACGUGCCAGCAGCCGCGGUAAUACGUAGGCAGCGAACGUUGUUCGGAGUUACUGGGCGUAAAGAGUGCGUAGGCGGUUCAGUAAGUCGGGUGUGAAAACUUUGGGCUUAACCCAAAGCGUGCAUCCGAUACUGCUGUGACUUGAGUACGGUAGGGGAGCGGGGGAAUUCCUAGUGUAGCGGUGAAAUGCGCAGAUAUUAGGAGGAACACCGGUGGCGAAGGCGCCGCUCUGGGCCGAAACUGACGCUGAGGAGCGAAAGCAUGGGUAGCAAACAGGAUUAGAUACCCCUGUAGUCCCUGAGCGGGCUGGCAAGGCGCAU